AUUGAACGCUGGCGGCAUGCCUUACACAUGCAAGUCGAACGGCAGCAUAGGAGCUUGCUCCUGAUGGCGAGUGGCGAACGGGUGAGUAAUAUAUCGGAACGUGCCCUAGAGUGGGGGAUAACUAGUCGAAAGAUUAGCUAAUACCGCAUACGAUCUAAGGAUGAAAGUGGGGGAUCGCAAGACCUCAUGCUCAUGGAGCGGCCGAUAUCUGAUUAGCUAGUUGGUGGGGUAAAAGCUCACCAAGGCGACGAUCAGUAGCUGGUCUGAGAGGACGACCAGCCACACUGGGACUGAGACACGGCCCAGACUCCUACGGGAGGCAGCAGUGGGGAAUUUUGGACAAUGGGGGCAACCCUGAUCCAGCAAUGCCGCGUGAGUGAAGAAGGCCUUCGGGUUGUAAAGCUCUUUUGUCAGGGAAGAAACGGUGAGCUCUAAUACAGUUUGCUAAUGACGGUACCGUAAGAAUAAGCACCGGCUAACUACGUGCCAGCCGCCGCAGUAAUAC
rnacentral:rRNA from 1 species